rnacentral:lncRNA from 1 species
AUGUAUGAGACGGGAUGCCCCUGCUGCACAGCUUUGCCUCUGUUUUGUUUUCCUGGUAAUUAUAGAAACUGUUUACUGUACAUGAAAAAUCUGCAAGUUUUCUCAGCUCUUGAGGACAAUACUAUUUGUAAUUCCUUUUCUCUGGAGAGAGUGACAGUUCACAGUGCAAAGGCCUGCUUCUUCCCAAGAAGAACUUUCCCACGGCCUCCCAAACCAAGACUGCAAUGGAAAUCACCACAGAUGUCUAUGGAUCAGCAUGGUGAUAGCAAACAGAAAAGAGAAGUAUGGGACUUGUACGGCAGCACAGCAGCUCAGCCCAAGACCCUUUGUACUUCUGUCUGCAGCCUGGCCCUUGUCCCUGGCAUGUUUCUCUCCACGUGUAUAUCUGCUUUUCUAUCCUUUCACAUCCUCCCGUUCUUAUCAGCAGGGGAUUGCAUCUCACCUGCAGUGGGGCAGCUAGUCUGAACUAGUCCCCUACUAGUCCUCCUAGUCCAAACUAGUCCCCCACUAAUCCUCCACCUCCAUGCUGCAAUCACUGGUGUGUCUCAGGAGGAGAGCACAUGAAAGGCAGUGGCUUAUCCCACUGCAAACAUUUUAUCUGGGGACUGUCACCCUCCAAGCUGCCAGGAUGUCCACACUGACUGUAGAGGGAGGCUGCUGGACUAGCUCAGGCCAGACAUAAGUUUUAAAUACCUAAAUUUAGGUUGGAAGAAUUUCACUCAGUCUCACAGCAGUUCCCAAAAUUCUUCAUGCUCUAAAGCCUAUUGGGUCACAGUAUAACGUGGGCAGAGUGAGGUACAAGGAUAAUAAGCAAUAUUUCAGUAUCAAAGGUGUUAAUGGCUACAACUUAGAGAACCACUAAUUGUUGCAUGAGGCUAUAUAAAUGCCAGGUCUUGGGAUGGGAAUUGUGGCUGCACUGGGCUUUGUUUAGGCUUCAGUAAAAGGCAUGAUGCUGAUAUGUUAGGGGUGUGUUUAAAGCCUGGCACUGGGAUGGUGUAUCUCUCUUAGUACACCCUAAACAAGCUGAGUUAAAUCUUUAAUCUUGGCCUUACCUAACGUGUAAGGCAUUUUUACAGAAGGUACUUGGUGAAGUACUGUUCUUUUUGAAAUUUGCUAUAAAUGACUUUUGGCUGCAAAUGCUUUUGAAAACUCCAUAUACAGGAUUGUUUCUGAAGAAAGAGUGUGAACUCUAGAUUAUGUCAUAGGUUUUACAUCUUUUUGUUUUGAUACAACACUUCUAAACUUGCGGUUUAGACAUUUCUAAACAAUAUUUACUAGCAAAGCAUAAAAGCUUCCUUUUUUUAAGCGCUCACAUAUAAUAACCAUACCCCUACACACAUUUUAAAGGCAUUCCUACUAUCAUCUCCAAAUUUAUACCACUUGGCAAAGUACUUUACUUGUAAUAUUUUACACCCACUGACAGGUUUUGCAUUCACCAUCUAAACUUAUAGAGGAAUUCUGAGUG